rnacentral:lncRNA from 1 species
GGGCUUUGCUAAAUUUUGAAGGCUGUACGUACAGGUACCUAUUGUUGUUAAUUUCUGUAUCAUUUGGUCUCUUAUGGAUAGUUGUCUCAUUGGCAAUCAUACCAUAUCUUCGUUUUUAUAUAAUAGUCAUUUUCGCUGUUAUCGUGUUAAAAGAUAGACACGACAUUAUUUUUCGGCAUCAAUCUUUUUUUUUUUUUUUUUUGUUUUUUUUUUUGUAAUAACAAAAAAUAAAUUUUAGAAAAUUUUCGUUUGAAUAGAAUUUGGUGUUUAUG